UCUCAUCUCUCCUUCCAAUGGAAGACACAGCAGUAAGGUCAUCUGUGAACCAGCAGGAGGCCCUUCAUAAGACACUGAAUCUUCAGAAUCUCGAACAGCCCAGAACUGUGAGAAACAAAUGUCCAUGGUAUUCUAUUAUAGCAGCCCCAAUGGACUAACUUUAACAUAUGGUGAAGAAGUUGAGUCUCUUUUUUAUUCAUCUGGGAGCUUUUGUGAGAAUAGCAAGGAAGAGAUGCUCAUAUGAAGAAGGGUAUUGCUACUAUGUCGACACCCCAUGUGCUUUCUGCUAGACCAGGCAAUCUGGAGCCAGGGGCAAACUGCAUCCAGGUCAUCAAAAAGUGACAGUCUCAAUCCGAAGAUGUACUCUAUUACAAAGUAACUCGUGAACAGAAAAUGUAUAUCCACUGGGAACAAGACUAAAUCACCCAGAAUUACCCAGAGCUGACUGAAACAGUGACACACUCAUUCCAAAUACUGAGAUUAUCUGCAAUGAAAACUCAUAGAGAGGUCAUUUAUUUUCAUUAAGUCCAUUUUCUUUUUU